rnacentral:lncRNA from 1 species
CUUUUGACCCUUCCUACAUAUAUUACAUGUCAAAAUAAUUAAUAUUUGAAGAGUCCGGCUACUAUACUAUUAUGAGUAUAGAUCUCUUUAUAUUUAUAAGUUUCUAACCGUUAGAUCUACCUUUUUAAUUUUCAUCUGUUAGAGGCAUAUUAUUCAAACAAUCAUCCACUCAACCCUUGAGGACUAGUAUCAUUUUAACCAUAGACCACUAUCAUCCUAAUCGUAUAUCUUUUUAUCCAACGGCCGAAAAUUAUGAAUACAAAGAGGUCUAUAUUCACAAGAGUACAGUAGCCCUAGUCAAUAUUAUAGUAUCCCUGGUGUUCAGCUUUCUGAGACUUGUCGACACGCCGUGAGGGUGUCGGGACAAGUCCGAGUCUCGUUGGCGUGAAAUAGACGCAAAAC